UACAGAGGUCUCGAGCGUUGUUCGGAUUCAUUGGGCGUAAAGGGCGCGUAGGCGGCGGGGCAAGUCGGGUGUGAAAUCUCAGAGCUCAACUCUGAAACUGCACUCGAUACUGCUUUGCUUGAGGACUGGAGAGGAGAUUGGAAUUCACGGUGUAGCAGUGAAAUGCGUAGAUAUCGGGAGGAACACCUGAGGCGAAGGCGGGCUACUGGGCCGAUACUGACGCUGAUGCGCGAAAGCCAGGGGAGCGAACGGG
rnacentral:rRNA from 1 species